GCCGGGCGCGGUGGCAGGCGCCUGUAGUCCCACCUACUCGGGAGGCUGAGGCAGGAGAAUGGCGGGAACCCGGGAGGCGGAGCUUGCAGUGAGCCGAGAUCGCGCCCCAUCCCCCCAGCUUGGGGGACAGGGACUUUUUUUAAAAAAAAAAAAAAAAAAAAAANNNNNNNNNNGAAACAAAGUCUCUGUCACCCAAGCUGGAGUGCAGUGGCGCGAUCUCGGCUCACUGCAAGCUCCGCCUCCCGGGUUCCCGCCAUUCUCCUGCCUCAG
rnacentral:SRP_RNA from 1 species